rnacentral:misc_RNA from 1 species
GAUGAAGAACGCAGCGAAAUGCGAUAAGUAAUGUGAAUUGCAGAAUUCAGUGAAUCAUCGAAUCUUUGAACGCACAUUGCGCCCGCUAGUAUUCUGGCGGGCAUGCCUGUCCGAGCGUCCUUUCAACCCUCAAGCCCCCGGGCUUGGUGUUGGGGAUCGGCGAGCCUCCGCGCCCGCCGUCCCCUAAAUCUAGUGGCGGUCUCGCUGUAGCUUCCUCUGCGUAGUAGCACACCUCGCACUGGGAAACAGCGCGGCCACGCCGUUAAACCCCCAACUUCUGAACGUUUGACCUCGGAUCAGGUAGGAAUACCCGCUGAACUUAAGCAUAUCAAUAAGCGGAGGA